rnacentral:rRNA from 1 species
UGGGGAAUAUUGGACAAUGGGCGCAAGCCUGAUCCAGCCAUGCCGCGUGAGUGACGAAGGUCUUCGGAUUGUAAAGCUCUUUUGGCGGGGACGAUAAUGACGGUACCCGCAGAAUAAGCCCCGGCUAACUUCGUGCCAGCAGCCGCGGUAAUACGAAGGGGGCUAGCGUUGUUCGGAAUCACUGGGCGUAAAGCGCACGUAGGCGGACUCAUAAGUCAGGGGUGAAAUCCCGGGGCUCAACCUCGGAACUGCCUUUGAUACUGUGAGUCUCGAGACCGGAAGAGGUGAGUGGAAUUCCUAGUGUAGAGGUGAAAUUCGUAGAUAUUAGGAAGAACACCAGUGGCGAAGGCGGCUCACUGGUCCGGUUCUGACGCUGAGGUGCGAAAGCGUGGGGAGCAA